rnacentral:rRNA from 1 species
CCUACGGGAGGCAGCAGUAGGGAAUCUUGCGCAAUGGGCGAAAGCCUGACGCAGCAACGCCGCGUGCGGGAAGAAGGCUCUCGGGUUGUAAACCGCUUUCAGUAGGAACGAAAAUGACGGUACCUGCAGAAGAAGGUGCGGCCAACUACGUGCCAGCAGCCGCGGUAACACGUAGGCACCAAGCGUUGUCCGGAUUUAUUGGGCGUAAAGAGCUCGUAGGCGGUUCAGUAAGUCGGGUGUGAAAACUCAGGGCUCAACCCUGAGCUGCCACCCGAUACUGCUGUGACUUGAGUCUGGUAGGGGAGUGGGGAAUUCCUGGUGUAGCGGUGAAAUGCGCAGAUAUCAGGAGGAACACCGGUGGCGAAGGCGCCACUCUGGGCCACGACUGACGCUGAGGAGCGAAAGCAUGGGUAGCAAACAGGAUUAGAUACCCUGGUAGUCCAUGCCGUAAACGUAGGGCACUAGGUGUGGGUUCCAACCAACGGAAUCCGUGCCGUCGCUAACGCAUUAAGUGCCCCGCCUGGGGAGUACGGCCGCAAGGCUAAAACUCAAAGGAAUUGACGGGGGCCCGCACAAGCAUCGGAGCGUGUUGCUUAAUUUCGAUGAUACGCGAAAAACCUUACCUGGGUUUGACAUGUACGGAAAAAGCCGCAGAGAUGCGGUGUCCUUCGGGGUCGUACACAGGUGGUGCAUGGCUGUCCUCAGCUCGUGUCGUGA